AUUGAACGCUGGCGGCAGGCCUAACACAUGCAAGUCGAGCGGAGCGGCGGACGGGUGAGUAAUGCCUAGGAAUCUGCCUGUUAGUGGGGGAUAACGUCCGGAAACUGGCGCUAAUACCGAAGCCUAUCAGAUGAGCCUAGGUCGGAUUAGCUAGUGGGUGGGGUAAAGGCCUACAAAGGCGAAGAUCCCGCACUGGUCAGAGAGGAUGAUCAGUCAAACUGGAACUGAGAAACGGUCCAGACUCCUACGGGAGGCAGCAGUGGGGAAUAUUGGACAAUGGGCGAAAGCCUGAUUCAGACAUGCCGCGUGUGUGAAGAAGGUCUUCGGAUUGUAAAGCACUUUAAGUUGGGAGGCGUUACCAACAGAAUAAGCACCGGCUAACUUCGUGCCAGCAGCCGCGGUAAUUC
rnacentral:rRNA from 1 species